rnacentral:rRNA from 1 species
AAAUUGAAGAGUUUGAUCAUGGCUCAGAUUGAACGCUGGCGGCAGGCCUAACACAUGCAAGUCGAGCGGUAGCACAGAGAGCUUGCUCUCGGGUGACGAGCGGCGGACGGGUGAGUAAUGUCUGGGAAACUGCCUGAUGGAGGGGGAUAACUACUGGAAACGGUAGCUAAUACCGCAUAACGUCGCAAGACCAAAGUGGGGGACCUUCGGGCCUCAUGCCAUCAGAUGUGCCCAGAUGGGAUUAGCUAGUAGGUGGGGUAACGGCUCACCUAGGCGACGAUCCCUAGCUGGUCUGAGAGGAUGACCAGCCACACUGGAACUGAGACACGGUCCAGACUCCUACGGGAGGCAGCAGUGGGGAAUAUUGCACAAUGGGCGCAAGCCUGAUGCAGCCAUGCCGCGUGUGUGAAGAAGGCCUUCGGGUUGUAAAGCACUUUCAGCGGGGAGGAAGGCGGUAAGGUUAAUAACCUCAUCGAUUGACGUUACCCGCAGAAGAAGCACCGGCUAACUCCGUGCCAGCAGCCGCGGUAAUACGGAGGGUGCAAGCGUUAAUCGGAAUUACUGGGCGUAAAGCGCACGCAGGCGGUCUGUCAAGUCGGAUGUGAAAUCCCCGGGCUCAACCUGGGAACUGCAUUCGAAACUGGCAGGCUAGAGUCUUGUAGAGGGGGGUAGAAUUCCAGGUGUAGCGGUGAAAUGCGUAGAGAUCUGGAGGAAUACCGGUGGCGAAGGCGGCCCCCUGGACAAAGACUGACGCUCAGGUGCGAAAGCGUGGGGAGCAAACAGGAUUAGAUACCCUGGUAGUCCACGCCGUAAACGAUGUCGAUUUGGAGGUUGUGCCCUUGAGGCGUGGCUUCCGGAGCUAACGCGUUAAAUCGACCGCCUGGGGAGUACGGCCGCAAGGUUAAAACUCAAAUGAAUUGACGGGGGCCCGCACAAGCGGUGGAGCAUGUGGUUUAAUUCGAUGCAACGCGAAGAACCUUACCUGGUCUUGACAUCCACAGAACUU